GAGCCGUGCAGAGCAGCAGGCCUCCAUUGUGGUUUGGUGCCACAUGGUUUAACCCUCUGUGCUCACGACCAACUCUGGAGCUCCCACAUGAAUAAAGAAUUAUAUUACCAUGCCGCCAAGAGUUCCUGGUCUCUCUCCUGCGAUGCAAGCCUGGCACUGGGGCUCAGUGCCUACACUACAAAUCUACUGCUCCUAUCGCCAUUUUUCCAUUUUUUUGGAUAGGACAGAGAAAUUGAGAGAGAAGAAGGAGAAGACACAGAGGAAGAGAGACAGAGAGACACCGGCAGACCUGUUUCACCACCUGUGAAGUGACCCCCUCCUGCAGGUAUCCGCCAUGGCUACUUCUCCUGGGAACUGAACACGUGUGACUCUGCUAGCCGCCACAAGCUGCAGAUGCUACCAUGAUGCCAAACUGACUUCCCUGGGCAGACAACCUCACCAAAGAGUCCUGGAACUCCACUUCCCCAGAGCCCUGCCCCAUUAGGGAAAGACAGAAACAGGCUGGGAGUAUGGAUCCACCU